GUGCUCGCUUCAGCGGAACAUAUACUAAAAUUGGAACGAUACAGAGAAGAUUAGCAUGGCCCCUGCAAAGAAGAAGAAGAAAAGAAAGUGGCUAACCUCUGACUC
ensembl:snRNA U6 U6 spliceosomal RNA